CCUACGGGGGGCAGCAGUGAGGAAUAUUGGUCAAUGGACGGAAGUCUGAACCAGCCAUGCCGCGUGCAGGAAGACGGCUCUAUGAGUUGUAAACUGCUUUUGUACAAGGGUAAACCUGAAUACGUGUAUUCUGCUGAAAGUACUGUACGAAUAAGGAUCGGCUAACUCCGUGCCAGCAGCCGCGGUAAUACGGAGGAUCCAAGCGUUAUCCGGAUUUAUUGGGUUUAAAGGGUGCGCAGGCGGAUUGAUAAGUUAGGGAUGAAAUGUCCGAGCUUAACUCGGGAGCUGCCUCUAAUACUGUUGAUCUAGAGAGUAGAUGCGGUAGGCGGAAUGUAUGGUGUAGCGGUGAAAUGCUUAGAGAUCAUACAGAACACCGAUUGCGAAGGCAGCUUACCAAUCUAUAUCUGACGUUGAGGCACGAAAGCGUGGGGAGCAAACAGGAUUAGAUACCCCUGUAGUC
rnacentral:rRNA from 1 species